UACACACCACCCGUCACACCAUGGGAGUGGGUUGCACCAGAAGUAGCUAGUCUAACCGCAAGGGGGACGGUUACCACGGUGAGCUUCAUGACUGGGGUG
rnacentral:rRNA from 1 species